rnacentral:rRNA from 1 species
CACACUAUCAUUAACUGAAUCCAUAGGUUAAUGAGGCGAACCGGGGGAACUGAAACAUCUAAGUACCCCGAGGAAAAGAAAUCAACCGAGAUUCCCCCAGUAGCGGCGAGCGAACGGGGAGGAGCCCAGAGCCUGAAUCAGUGUGUGUGUUAGUGGAAGCGUCUGGAAAGGCGCGCGAUACAGGGUGACAGCCCCGUACACAAAAAUGCACAUGCUGUGAGCUCGAUGAGUAGGGCGGGACACGUGGUAUCCUGUCUGAAUAUGGGGGGACCAUCCUCCAAGGCUAAAUACUCCUGACUGACCGAUAGUGAACCAGUACCGUGAGGGAAAGGCGAAAAGAACCCCGGCGAGGGGAGUGAAAAAGAACCUGAAACCGUGUACGUACAAGCAGUGGGAGCCUCUUAAUGGGGUGACUGCGUACCUUUUGUAUAAUGGGUCAGCGACUUAUAUUCUGUAGCAAGGUUAACCGAAUAGGGGAGCCGAAGGGAAACCGAGUCUUAACUGGGCGUUAAGUUGCAGGGUAUAGACCCGAAACCCGGUGAUCUAGCCAUGGGCAGGUUGAAGGUUGGGUAACACUAACUGGAGGACCGAACCGACUAAUGUUGAAAAAUUAGCGGAUGACUUGUGGCUGGGGGUGAAAGGCCAAUCAAACCGGGAGAUAGCUGGUUCUCCCCGAAAGCUAUUUAGGUAGCGCCUCGUGAAUUCAUCUCCGGGGGUAGAGCACUGUUUCGGCAAGGGGGUCAUCCCGACUUACCAACCCGAUGCAAACUGCGAAUACCGGAGAAUGUUAUCACGGGAGACACACGGCGGGUGCUAACGUCCGUCGUGAAGAGGGAAACAACCCAGACCGCCAGCUAAGGUCCCAAAGUCAUGGUUAAGUGGGAAACGAUGUGGGAAGGCCCAGACAGCCAGGAUGUUGGCUUAGAAGCAGCCAUCAUUUAAAGAAAGCGUAAUAGCUCACUGGUCGAGUCGGCCUGCGCGGAAGAUGUAACGGGGCUAAACCAUGCACCGAAGCUGCGGCAGCGAC